rnacentral:rRNA from 1 species
UACGUAGGUGGCAAGCGUUGUCCGGAUUUACUGGGCGUAAAGGGCGUGCAGGCGGUCUGUUAAGUUCAGGGUGAAAGCUCCCGGCUCAACUGGGAGAGGUCCUUGGAUACUGGCAGACUUGAGGGAGGUAGAGGAGAGUGGAAUUCCCGGUGUAGUGGUGAUAUGCGCAGAUAUCGGGAGGAACACCAAUGGCGAAGGCAGCUCGCUGGGACGGUACUGACGCUGAGACGCGAAAGCGUGGGGAGCAAACAGG